UAUAAAGAUUUGGGGCUUGUAGAAAAAGUGGAGGAAGAGUCAGUGAUAUUGACAAGUAGAUGAAGAAAGGUAUAUAAAUCAAAUGAGAGAGAACAAAAAUAAUUUUCUUUUAGAACUUUUUCUUCUUUUGCAUGCGCUCUCUAACUUAACGCUCACGAACUUUGUGACUUUUUAAAAGUCUAUUCCUCUCUUAAAUUGCUCUCAUUAAAUACCACUAUUGGGAACAGAGAUUAAAGGUCUAAGACCAGCUCCAUCGGAGCUUCUUAAUCGAGGUUCUGAACAAAAAAGUGGAAAAAAAUAAAUGAAAAAAGAAAAUAAACCAGAGAACCGCUCUUUAAAUUGGGACUUUAAGGAUCGGUAAGGAACCUUACGUGUCCCCUUCUAAUUUGACGUCCUCUGUAUCUCUCUCCUCCGUCGGAGUUUGAUGCGAAAUCCCGUUUUCUCUCUUCUUCCACCGAUCUCUCCAUCUUCUCUGGCGAUUCUCUGUGAUUCUUCGAUCUCUCCAUCACCUCUGUCGAUUCUUCUAUCUCUCCAUCUUCUCUGUUGAUUCUCUGUCAAUUCUUAUGUCGAUCUCCAUCUCUGAUGAAUCUCAACGACGACAAGGUUGAGAGGUUCGAUAUUCCUCCAUGACAGUUAAAGAAUUUGGCUGUUAAGAUGCUUGAUACAACUGGUCAUCAAGGAGACAAAGAGUUUCUCGUGGAAGUCCUAAUGCUCUCCUUCUUGCGCCACGAACACCUCGUGACUUUGUUUGGUUACUGCGCUGAAGGAGACCAAAGACUCCUCGUCUAUGAGUACAUGCCUUUUGAAUCCGUAGAAGAUCAUAUCCACGGUUACGGAUCUGAAGAAGAGGUUUUAGAUUUGAGCACAAGGAUGUAGAUAGCUUUAGGAUCAGCCAAAGGGCUAGCGUAUCUUCACAACGUAGCACAACCUCCUGUAAUCUACAGAGACUUGAAAACCGCAAACAUAUUGCUAGACCAUGGCUACAAACCAAAGGGCUUGCUAAGUUUGGUCUGAGCGGUGACAUGUCUCAUGUCUCUACUAGAGUCAUGGGAAGUCAUGACUCGCAUGGUUACCACAAUGGCGGAUGAAGAAGACGAGUCUCAGAGCAUUGAGCCCACGGGUAACAAUGAUUUUGUAGUAAGUAGUAUCUAGAGAGAACAACAAUAUGAUAUCUAAUAAGUGAAAGUAAUCAUGAAAACCUUAUGCUA